UGAAAUGCGAUACGUAAUGCGAAUUGCAGAACUCAGUGAAUCAUCAAAUCUUUGAACGCAUGUUGCACUUGUGGAAAUUUCUGCAAGUAUGCUUGUUUCAGUGUCUGUAACAUCCCUCACCAAGCACACUUGUGUGUUUUGGCAGGAUAUUGAACAUUCAAUACCCAGCAUUGAUUGUUUGAAAUUGGAUACACACGGAAAUUGUAAAAAGAAAAAGUUUCCAAAGCAUGGUGUGGUAAAUUCCCGAAAGGGAAUGUUAAAACAUCGCUCCAAGCAUUGGGAUUUUUAAAACAAUAAAACUGUGUGUAAAAUCUUGAAUGAUUUUGAAAUAAUAAAAUCUCAAAAAUCAGACCUGAAAUCAAGCAAGAGGACCCGCUGGACUUAA
rnacentral:misc_RNA from 1 species